UCAGUAAGUAUAACGUUUCAAGAUGGCGGAGCGAAUUGCAUGGUUAUUGUUUCUACUCGAUGGAUUCGCAGAUAAUUCGGAAAUUGAUCAGAUUGGGAUCAAUAACUUUAUUGCAUACGAUCAUUUACAUGUAUUACCAGGUGUGUGUUGCCAGUAAUGGUUGAAGAUAUGCCAAACAAAUUGUGCCUCUCUAUACAGACAGAUUUCAGGUCUCAAUUUCUACUUCAAAGGUCAACAUAUCACUGAUAUCAGGGACUCAACAUUACACGGUCAUUUGAACAUGUAGAGUCUUGUCAGCAAUGAUGGAGCAGUACAUCAGAUUUCCAGAAUCUCGUCAUGAGCUGAAGAUCAUUGCCUAUGGAUUUCAUGAAUGAUGUAGAAUGAUUGGACUGUUGAUGGAACCCACAGUGCAUGUCCUGCUUCAACAUCUGAGCAUAGGUCCUUGUUUAUCAGCAGUUUAGUUCUUCAAGCAGUCUGUGACAGUAACUUGAAAUGUUUGGACAUAUGACCUGGAUGGCCAAGUUCUGUGCAUGAUGCCCAUUUAAAUAGGAACGGCCCAGUGGCGCAUUAAAUGGACAUUUUUCGAAUGUUCUCGAGGAUUCAGCUGACCGCCUGACAAGAAAUCUUGCUUUUUGUUCCGUAUCGAGGCCAUGGACAUUUGUAUCAUUUGCAAAAGAACCUGCGAUAUUUGUGCCUUUGUUCAUGCUUUAUAGUUGAUUAACAAUUGGAAGCCAUAACCUGUUUUAUAGGAUGGUGUUAGUGGGACAAUGAAUUUUGUAAAGAUUUAAAGACUGGAAAAGAUAAUUAAAAGUCAAACGAGUUCUGCUAUUGUUAAGCAUGCUUUAUUGAUUUGUAAUGUUAGAAAGAUAGCAUUAUUAACAGAAUAAAAUGUCCAUAAUUUGAA